GACGAACGCUGGCGGCGUGCUUAACACAUGCAAGUCGAACGGAAAGGCCCUGCUUUUGUGGGGUGCUCGAGUGGCGAACGGGUGAGUAACACGUGAGUAACCUGCCCUUGACUUUGGGAUAACUUCAGGAAACUGGGGCUAAUACCGGAUAGGAGCUCCUGCUGCAUGGUGGGGGUUGGAAAGUUUCGGCGGUUGGGGAUGGACUCGCGGCUUAUCAGCUUGUUGGUGGGGUAGUGGCUUACCAAGGCUUUGACGGGUAGCCGGCCUGAGAGGGUGACCGGAGACAUUGGGAAUGUGAUAGGGUGCAGAAUGCAAUGGGAGAGAGUAGUGGGGAGUGUUGCAGAAUCGGUGGGGGCCUGAUGCAGCGGCGUCGCGAGCGAGUAGAGGGGCUUCGGGAUGUAAACAACUUUCGCCUGGAAUAAAGCGGGGGUGACGGUAGUAGGUAAAGAGGCGCCGGGUAACUAAAUG
rnacentral:rRNA from 1 species